rnacentral:ribozyme from 1 species
GCGCUCUUGCCGAGUCGUUCAGUUGUUGGAUGAGUGAGGAGUGAGUUGAAUGGCACUGUUUUUUGAUUCGUUUGACUGUUUGCUGCUGCUACGAGCUACUAGCUACCAGCUACUCUUCGCCG